UACGAAGGGGGCUAGCGUUGUUCGGAAUUACUGGGCGUAAAGCGUAUGCAGGCGGAUCGUUAAGUCGGGGGUGAAAUCCCGAGGCUCAACCUCGGAACUGCCUUCGAUACUGGCGAUCUUGAGUCCGGGAGAGGUGAGUGGAACUCCGAGUGUAGAGGUGAAAUUCGUAGAUAUCUGGAGGAACACCGGUGGCGAAGGCGGCAUCCUGGACCGAUACUGACGCUGAGGAGCGAAAGCCAGGGGAGCAAACGGG
rnacentral:rRNA from 1 species